rnacentral:rRNA from 1 species
AACGAACGCUGGCGGCAUGCCUAACACAUGCAAGUCGAACGAGACCUUCGGGUCUAGUGGCGCACGGGUGCGUAACGCGUGGGAACCUGCCUUUAGGUUCGGAAUAACUCAGAGAAAUUUGAGCUAAUACCGGAUAAUGUCUUCGGACCAAAGAUUUAUCGCCUUUAGAUGGGCCCGCGUUGGGAUUAGCUAGUUGGUGGGUAAAGCCUACCAAGGCGACGAUCCAUAGCUGGUCUGAGAGGAUGAUCAGCCACACUGGGACUGAGACACGGCCCAGACUCCUACGGGAGGCAGCAGUGGGAAUAUUGGACAAUGGGCGAAAGCCUGAUCCAGCAAUGCCGCGUGAGUGAUG